rnacentral:rRNA from 1 species
AUGGAGACGAGCAGGACCAUCCAUCCACAUCUGUAUUGUCGAAGGGAGGCUCGGGCCAGCGAGGUGGAGCUCCUCCUCUGCUUGUCGUUGGCCGGGGGGGUGCGGGUGGGAUGGCUGCUGCUUUUUUGCACUGCGGUGCGGGAUGGGUGUGCUGCGUGCACCAAUGCAGUGGACUGCACGGCGCCGCCACCGAUGGCUUGUGAAGCAGACCACGGGAGGCCCAAAAAGGAUGGCGGGGCGGUUGUGGGCGCGGCGGCCAGCGAGUACAGAGGUGGGAGAAGGCCAUGGGAGACCGCCAGCCAUCCCGUGGUAGCCGUCGAGUGGACGGGAAGGCCACGCCUGCUGGUAGGCGGAGGGGCAGCGUGGGCCAUCAGAUCUGGCGGUGGGGCAUUGUGA